GACGGGGGAUGCAAGUGUUAUCCGGAAUCACUGGGCGUAAAGCGUCUGUAGGUGGUCAAAUAAGUCAACUGUUAAAUCUUGAGGCUCAACCUCAAAAUCGCAGUCGAAACUAUUCGACUAGAGUAUAGUAGGGGUAAAGGGAAUUUCCAGUGGAGCGGUGAAAUGCGUAGAGAUUGGAAAGAACACCGAUGGCGAAGGCACUUUACUGGGCUAUUACUAACACUGAGAGACGAAAGCUAGGGUAGCAAAUGGG
rnacentral:rRNA from 1 species